rnacentral:tRNA from 1 species
AAGAAAGAAUGCAAGAGCUGCUAACUCAUGCUACUAAACUUAAGCGUACGGCUUUCUUA